UAGGGAAUCUUCGGCAAUGGGGGGAACCCUGACCGAGCAACGCCGCGUGAGUGAAGAAGGUUUUCGGAUCGUAAAGCUCUGUUGUUAAGGAAGAACGAGUGUGAGAAUGGAAAGUUCAUGCUGUGACGGUACUUAACCAGAAAGGGCCGGCUAACUACGUGCCAGCAGCCGCGGUAAUACGUAGGUCCCGAGCGUUGUCCGGAUUUAUUGGGCGUAAAGCGAGCGCAGGCGGUGAGCAAAGUCUGAAGUGAAAGGCAGUGGGUAAACCAUUGUAGGCUUUGGAAACUGUUUAACUUGAGUGCAGAAGGGGAGAGUGGAAUUCCAUGUGUAGCGGUGAAAUGCGUAGAUAUAUGGAGGAACACCGGUGGCGAAAGCGGCUCUCUGGUCUGUAACUGACGCUGAGGCUCGAAAGCGUGGGGAGCGAACAGG
rnacentral:rRNA from 1 species